UCUGUCUCUUGUAAACUUAGGGAAAAGUGCUUAUUGUUAAUGGAUUUUGUCUAUUUUCAGAGUAAGCGACAGUGUUCCAAAGUUCAAGGUUCUCCAACAGCCCCCAGGAACUCCAGGCAGCCUCUGGGAGCUGCAAGAGACAAGGAAAUGGAUUCUGUCCUACAGCCUUCGGAGCAGAUGCAGACCUGCCGACACCUUCCUUUCAGCUCAGCGAAACCCAUUUCAGAAUUUUGAGUGCAGAGCUGUAAGGUCAUGAGUCUGUGCUGCUUAAGCCACUGUGUUUGUAGUCAUUUGUUGCAGUAGUAAAGGAGACUAAUAUGCUAUUCUGCCACCAUUCUGAGCUUUUGAGGCAGGCUGAUGGAAAAGGUGGGACAGUGGCUUCCCGGUACUUUUCUAAGUGAUCCUGAGAACCUAAUAUCCCAGGCACUUCAUAUUCUGUAACUCUUCACCCCGCUGCCAGCAGAGUCUGCUUAGUCCUCAAGAUGAGGGGCUUCUGUUGCUCGCAGAGGUUGAUGAUUUCACUGAUUAUCUUUAAGUUACUCUGCACUCUCUCUUCCCCAGAGAAAACCCAAUCAAAUUCAAGUGAGCAUUGGGGAAAAUAUUCAUUCAUUAAACUGGUUCUUAACCUUUUUGGGGGCACUGACCUCUUGAGAUUCUGUUGAAAAUGGGAUUUUAGCCCCCAUAAAAAUACAUAUCAAAAAUUUGCAUACAAUUUUGGCCAGGCACAGUGGCUCAUGCCUGUAAUCU
rnacentral:lncRNA from 1 species